rnacentral:misc_RNA from 1 species
GAUGAAGAACGUAGCGAAAUGCGAUAAGUAAUGUGAAUUGCAGAAUUCAGUGAAUCAUCGAAUCUUUGAACGCACAUUGCGCCCCCUGGUAUUCCGGGGGGCAUGCCUGUCCGAGCGUCAUUACAACCCUCAAGCUCAGCUUGGUAUUGGGCCCCGCCGACCCGGCGGGCCCUAAAGUCAGUGGCGGUGCCGUCCGGCUCCGAGCGUAGUAAUUCUUCUCGCUCUGGAGGUCCGGUCGUGUGCUCGCCAGCAACCCCCAAUUUUUUUCAGGUUGACCUCGGAUCAGGUAGGGAUACCCGCUGAACUUAAGCAUAUCAAUAACGGAGGA